rnacentral:rRNA from 1 species
CCUACGGGUGGCAGCAGUAGGGAAUAUUCGUCAAUGGGGGGAACCCUGACCGAGCCAAGCCGCGUGAACGAAGAAGUUAUUCGUAAUGUAAAGUUCUUUUAACAGGGAAGAAAGAGAAAUUUGACGGUACCUGAAGAAUAAGCUCCGGCUAACUACGUGCCAGCAGCCGCGGUAAUACGGAGGGAGCGAGCGUUAUCCGGAAUUAUUGGGCGUAAUGGGUGGGUUGAUGGAAUAGUAAGUCGUUGGUAAAAGUGCGGGGCUCAACCCAGUAGAGCAAAAGAUACUGGAAAGCUAGAGUAUGAGAGAGGUAUGUGGAACGAGAGGUGUAGCGGUGAAAUGCGUAGAUAU